rnacentral:rRNA from 1 species
UACGUAGGGUGCAAGCGUUGUCCGGAAUUAUUGGGCGUAAAGAGCUCGUAGGUGGCUUGUCACGUCGGGUGUGAAAGCUUGGGGCUUAACUUCAGGUCUGCAUUCGAUACGGGCUGGCUAGAGGUAGGUAGGGGAGAACGGAAUUCCUGGUGUAGCGGUGAAAUGCGCAGAUAUCAGGAGGAACACCGGUGGCGAAGGCGGUUCUCUGGGCCUUACCUGACGCUGAGGAGCGAAAGCGUGGGGAGCGAACAGG